CCUACGGGAGGCAGCAGUGAGGAAUAUUGGUCAAUGGCCGUAAGGCUGAACCAGCCAAGUAGCGUGAGGGAAGACUGCCCUAUGGGUUGUAAACCUCUUUUAUGCGGGGAUAAAGGUGUCCACGUGUGGGUGUUUGGAUGUACUUUAUGAAUAAGGAUCGGCUAACUCCGUGCCAGCAGCCGCGGUAAUACGGAGGAUCCGAGCGUUAUCCGGAUUUAUUGGGUUGAAAGGGAGCGUAGAUGGGUUGUUAAGUCAGUUGUGAAAGUUUGCGGCUCAACCGUAAAAUUGCAAUUGAUACUGGCAGUCUUGAGUACAGUUGAGGUAGGCGGAAUUCGUGGUGUAGCGGUGAAAUGCUUAGAUAUCACGAAGAACUCCGAUUGCGAAGGCAGCUUACUAAACUGCCACUGACAUUGAUGCUCGAGAGUGUGGGUAUCAAACAGGAUUAGAUACCCCAGUAGUC
rnacentral:rRNA from 1 species